GAUGAAGAACGCAGCGAAAUGCGAUAAGUAAUGUGAAUUGCAGAAUUCAGUGAAUCAUCGAAUCUUUGAACGCACAUUGCGCCCGCCAGUAUUCUGGCGGGCAUGCCUGUUCGAGCGUCAUUUCAACCCUCAAGCACUGCUUGGUGUUGGGGACCGGCUUGCCUUCAGCGCCUGCCGCCCCCGAAAUACAGUGGCGGUCUCGCCGCAGCCUCCUCUGCGUAGUAGUUUACAACCUCGCAUACGGAGCGCGGCGCGGCCACGCCGUAAAACCCCCUACUUUCAAAGGUUGACCUCGAAUCAGGUAGGAAUACCCGCUGAACUUAAGUAUAUCAAUAAGCGGAGGA
rnacentral:misc_RNA from 1 species